UACAGAGGUCUCAAGCGUUGUUCGGAUUCAUUGGGCGUAAAGGGUGCGUAGGUGGCGCCGUAAGUCAGGUGUGAAAUUUCGGAGCUUAACUCCGAAACUGCAUUUGAUACUGCGGUGCUUGAGGACUGGAGAGGAGACUGGAAUUUACGGUGUAGCAGUGAAAUGCGUAGAGAUCGUAAGGAAGACCAGUGGCGAAGGCGGGUCUCUGGACAGUUCCUGACACUGAGGCACGAAGGCCAGGGGAGCAAAUGGG
rnacentral:rRNA from 1 species